rnacentral:rRNA from 1 species
UACGGAGGGUGCAAGCGUUAUCCGGAUUUACUGGGUUUAAAGGGUACGUAGGCGGACUGGUAAGUCAGUGGUGAAAGCCCACAGCUCAACUGUGGAACUGCCAUUGAAACUGCUAGUCUUGAGUUCGGUUGAUGAGGACGGAAUAUAGCAUGUAGCGGUGAAAUGCUUAGAUAUGCUAUAGAACACCAAUUGCGAAGGCAGUUCUCAAAGCCGACACUGACGCUGAGGUACGAAAGCGUGGGGAGCGAACAGG